AGUGAACGCUGGCGGUAGGCCUAACACAUGCAAGUCGAACGGCAGCACAGUAAGAGCUUGCUCUUACGGGUGGCGAGUGGCGGACGGGUGAGGAAUACAUCGGAAUCUACUUUUUCGUGGGGGAUAACGUAGGGAAACUUACGCUAAUACCGCAUACGACCUACGGGUGAAAGCAGGGGAUCUUCGGACCUUGCGCGAUUGAAUGAGCCGAUGUCGGAUUAGCUAGUUGGCGGGGUAAAGGCCCACCAAGGCGACGAUCCGUAGCUGGUCUGAGAGGAUGAUCAGCCACACUGGAACUGAGACACGGUCCAGACUCCUACGGGAGGCAGCAGUGGGGAGUAUUGGACAAUGGGCGCAAGCCUGAUCCAGCCAUACCGCGUGGGUGAAGAAGGCCUUCGGGUUGUAAAGCCCUUUUGUUGGGAAAGAAAAUCAGCAGGUUAAUACCCCGCUGUUCUGGCGGUACCCAAAGAAUAAGCACCGGCUAACUUCGUG
rnacentral:rRNA from 1 species